GGUGAAUGAUAGUAGUAUGGUGUUGGAGUGUGAGUUGGCGGUGGUGGAGACUUGUAGACAUAGGUUGGAGUAGGAGGAGGUGGCGACUUGUAGACAUAAGUAGGGGUUGGUGGUGGUGGGGACUUGUAGACAUAUGUCGGAGUUGGUGGUGGUGGUGACUUG